CGCAUAAGAUCCCCAAGCCUUGGUUUGAGGAUGAAAGCCUUCGGGCGCCAGAGGAGGGGCUCGCGUCCUAUCAGGUAGUUGGUGGGGUAAUGGCUCCCAAGCCGAUGCGGGUAUCUGGUCUGAGAGGAUGAUCAGCAGAGGGGGCUUGAGACACGGCCCCCACUCCUACGGGAGCACCAGCAGGGAAUUUUGGGCAAUGGGCGAAAGCCUGACCCAGCGACGUCGCGUGGGGGACGAAGGCCUUCGGGUUGUAAACCCCUUUUCCCAGGGAAGAGAGAGGCGGUACCUGGGGAAUAAGCCCCGGCUAACUACGUGCCAGCAGCCGCGGUAAUACGUAGGGGGCAAGCGUUACCCGGAAUCACUGGGCGUAAAGAGCGCGUAGGCGGCUAGGUAAGUCUUUUGUGAAAGCUCCCGGCUUAUCUGGGAGAGGUCAAGGGAUACUACUUAGCUAGAGGGCAGCAGAGGAAGCCGGAAUUCCCGGUGUAGCGGUGAUAUGCGUAGAUAUCAAGACGAACUUCAGUGGCGAAGGCGGCCGUUUGGACUGUGCCUGACGCUGAGGCGCG
rnacentral:rRNA from 1 species